ACAAAAACUAGCCCAAACUUCCACUCACAUAACUAAAACUCCAUAUUAACCAAAACAUUUACAACCAUGAAGUAUAGGUGAUAGAAACAUGCAUCUUGGCGCUAUAGAAAAAGUACCGCAAGGGAAUGAUGAAAGAUUAUUUUAAAGUAAUAAAAAGCAAAGAUUUUACCUUAUACCUUUUGCAUAAUGAAUUAGCUAGAAUAAAUCUAACAAGGCGAACAUAAGCUAGAUACCCCGAAACCAGACGAGCUACCUAAAAACAGUUUUCAGAACGAACCCGUCUAUGUAGCAAAAUAGUGGGAAGAUUUCUAGGUAGCGGUGAAAAACCUACCGAGCCUGGUGAUAGCUGGUUGUCCAGACACGAAUCUUAGUUCUACCUUAUAUUUUACCCAAAUAAACAAAACUACACCUGUAAAUAUGAGGAAUAGCCUAAAGAGGGACAGCUCUUUAGACCAAGGAUACAACCUCCAAUAGAGAAUAAGCCCAAACAUAAUUGCUCAGUAGGCCUGAAAGCAGCCACCAAUAAAGAAAGCGUUAAAGCUCUACAAUACCUUUUUCCCAAUUCCAACAGCAAGUAAAAUUUCCUAUCCUUACAACUGGACAAUUCUAUAAAAUUAUAGAAGUAAUUAUGCUAGUAUUAGUAAUGAGAAACUAAAUUCUCCAAGCACAAACUUACAUCUCUUCAUCAACCAAAGAUAAUUAACACCAUGGUAGAAUAAACCACCUACAUCAACCUACCUACCAAAAAAAUGUUAAUCCAACAAGGGAGUGCUACCAAGGAAAGAUUAAAAGAAGUAAAAGGAACUCGGCAAACACAAACCCCGCCUGUUUACCAAAAACAUCACCUCUAGCAUAAAAAGUAUUAGAGGCACUGCCUGCCCAGUGACUUACGUUCAACGGCCGCGGUACUCUGACCGUGCAAAGGUAGCAUAAUCAUUUGUUCUCUAAUUGGGGACUCGCAUGAAUGGCCAAACGAGGGUUUAACUGUCUCUCACUUCCAAUCCAUGAAAUUGACCUUCCCGUGAAGAGGCGGGAAUAAUAUAAUAAGACGAGAAGACCCUAUGGAGCUUCAAUCUAAAACCCAACACUUAAAAUAAACUACUCCCAAGUAGCCAACCACAAAGUUCUCCUGAGUUAAAGAUUUCGGUUGGGGUGACCUCGGAGCACAAAACAACCUCCGAAUGAUCUAGGCCUAGACUAACUAGUCAAAGCAACAAUAAUCACAAAUUGACCCAUAAUUUGAUCAACGAACCAAGUUACCCUAGGGAUAACAGCGCAAUCCUAUUCAAGAGUCCUUAUCGACAAUAGGGUUUACGACCUCGAUGUUGGAUCAGGACAUCCAAAUGGUGCAGCAGCUAUUAAUGGUUCGUUUGUUCAACGAUUAAAGUCCUACGUGAUCUGAGUUCAGACCGGAGCAAUCCAGGUCGGUUUCUAUCUAUUAAAAAUUUCUCCCAGUACGAAAGGACAAGAGAAAUGGAGCCAACCUAACAAAUGUGCUCCCAGCAAACAGAUGAAUUAUAUCUAAAUCUAAUACUCACCUUACAAAUCCAAGCCCAAGAACAGGGCUAA
rnacentral:rRNA from 1 species